GACGAACGCUGGCGGCGUGCUUAACACAUGCAAGUCGAACGGAAAGGCCCUGCUUUUGUGGGGUGCUCGAGUGGCGAACGGGUGAGUAACACGUGAGUAACCUGCCCUUGACUUUGGGAUAACUUCAGGAAACUGGGGCUAAUACCGGAUAGGAGCUCCUGCUGCAUGGUGGGGGUUGGAAAGUUUCGGCGGUUGGGGAUGGACUCGCGGCUUAUCAGCUUGUUGGUGGGGUAGUGGCUUACCAAGGCUUUGACGGGUAGCCGGCCUGAGAGGGUGACCGGCCACAUUGGGACUGAGAUACGGCCCAGACUCCUACGGGAGGAAGCAGGGGGGAAUAUUGAACAAUGGGCGGAAGCCUGAUGCAGCAACGCCGCGUGCGGGAUGACGGCCUUCGGGUUGUAAACCGCUUUCGCCUGUGACGAAGCGGGAGUGACGGUAAUGGGUAAAGAAGCACCGGCUAACUACGUG
rnacentral:rRNA from 1 species